rnacentral:rRNA from 1 species
GAAUUCACUAGUGAUUUCUGGUUGAUCCUGCCAGACCCGACUGCUAUCAGAGUGGGACUAAGCCAUGCGAGUCAACGUAGCAAUGCGUGGCGAACGGCUCAGUAACACGUAGUCAACAUGCCCAGGGGACGUGGAUAACCUCGGGAAACUGAGAUUAAACCGCGAUAGGUCAAGAUUUCUGGAAUGGAUCGUGUCUUAAAUCUACAUGGCCCCUGGAUUGGACUGCGGCCGAUCAGGCUGUUGGUGAGGUAAUGGCCCACCAAACCUAUAACCGGUACGGGCUCUGAGAGGAGAAGCCCGGAGAUGGGCACUGAGACAAGGGCCCAGGCCCUAUGGGGCGCAGCAGGCGCGUAACCUCUGCAAUGGGCGAAAGCCUGACAGGGUUACUCUGAGUGAUUUCCGCUAAGGAGAUCUUUUGGCAGCUCUAAAAAUGGUGCAGAAUAAGGGGUGGGCAAGUCUGGUGUCAGCCGCCGCGGUAAUACCAGCACCCCGAGUGGUCGGGACGAUUAUUGGGCCUAAAGCAUCCGUAGCCGGUUGUGCAAGUCCUCCGUUAAAUCCAGCCGCUCAACGGAUGGGCUGCGGAGGAUACUACAGAACUAGGAGGCGGGAGAGGCAAGCGGUACUUAGUGGGUAGGGGUAAAAUCCUUUGAUCCAUUGAAGACCACCAGUGGCGAAGGCGGCUUGCCAGAACGCGCUCGACGGUAAGGGAUGAAAGCUGGGGGAGCAAACCGGAUUAGAUACCCGGGUAGUCCCAGCUGUAAACGAUGCAGACUCGGUGAUGGGCUAGCCUCGUGUCAGCCCAGUGCCGCAGGGAAGCCGUUAAGUCUGCCGCCUGGGGAGUACGGUCGCAAGACUGAAACUUAAAGGAAUUGGCGGGGGAGCACCACAAGGGGUGAAGCCUGCGGUUCAAUUGGAUUCAACGCCGGAAAUCGAAUUCCCGCGGCC